GAUGAACGCUGGCGGCGUGCUUAACACAUGCCAGUCGAACGGUGAAGGCGGAGCUUGCUCUGCUGGAUCAGUGGCGAACGGGUGAGUAACACGUGAGCAAUCUGCCCCUGACUCUGGGAUAAGCGCUGGAAACGGCGUCUAAUACUGGAUACGAGCUGCGAAGGCAUCUUCAGCAGCUGGAAAGAACUUCGGUCAGGGAUGAGCUCGCGGCCUAUCAGCUUGUUGGUGAGGUAACGGCUCACCAGGGCGUCGACGGGUAGCCGGCCUGAGAGGGUGACCGGCCACACUGGGACUGAGACACGGCCCAGACUCCUACGGGAGGCAGCAGUGGGGAAUAUUGCACAAUGGGCGAAAGCCUGAUGCAGCAACGCCGCGUGAGGGACGACGGCCUUCGGGUUGUAAACCUCUUUUAGCAGGGAAGAAGCGAAAGUGACGGUACCUGCAGAAAAAGCGCCGGCUAACUACGUG
rnacentral:rRNA from 1 species